rnacentral:rRNA from 1 species
AGAGUUUGAUCAUGGCUCAGAACGAACGCUGGCGGCGUGGAUUAGGCAUGCAAGUCGUGCGCGAAAGUUCCCUUCGGGGAGCGAGUAGAGCGGCGAACUGGUGAGUAACAGGUGGAUAACGUGCCCUAAAGUGGGGGAUAACACGGGGAAACUCGUGCUAAUACCGCAUGUGUUUUUCGGGACUCUGGUCCUGAAAAAUAAAGAAGUGAUUCGCUUUAGGAUCGGUCCGCCCCCGAUUAGCUUGUUGGUGAGGUAACGGCUCACCAAGGCAACGAUCGGUAGCUGGUCUGAGAGGAUGGUCAGCCACACUGGGACUGAGAUACGGCCCAGACUCCUACGGGGGGCAGCAGUCUAGAGGCUUCGGCAAUGGGGGAAACCCUGACCGAGCGACGCCGCGUGCGGGAUUGAAGGCCUUCGGGUCGUAAACCGCUGUCAGGUGGGAAGAAUGCCCGUAUGGUGAAUACGGGAGCGACGGUACCACCAGAGGAAGCCCCGGCUAACUCCGUGCCAGCAGCCGCGGUAAUACGGAGGGGGCAAGCGUUGUUCGGAUUUACUGGGCGUAAAGAGUUCGUAGGCGGUUGCGUAAGUCUGGUGUGAAAUCUUCGCCGCUUAACGGGAAGAGGCCACUGGAAACUGCGCAACUUGAGUAUGGUAGAGGCAGACGGAAUUCCUGGUGUAGCGGUGGAAUGUGUAGAUAUCAGGAAGAACAUCGGUGGCGAAGGCGGUCUGCUGGGCCAUUACUGACGCUGAGGAACGAAAGCGUGGGGAGCAAACGGGAUUAGAUACCCUAGUAGUCC